rnacentral:rRNA from 1 species
UACGGAGGGUGCGAGCGUUGUCCGGAAUCACUGGGCGUAAAGGGCGCGUAGGCGGCCUGGCAAGUCGAUGGUGAAAGCCCGAGGCUCAACUUCGGGUCGGCCACUGAUACUGCUGGGCUUGAGUCGACUAGAGGCAGAUGGAAUUCCGGGGUGUAGCGGUGGAAUGCGUAGAGAUCCGGAAGAACACCGGGUGGCGAAGGCGGUCUGCUGGGGUCGAACUGACGCUGAGGCGCGACAGCGUGGGGAGCAAACAGG